rnacentral:rRNA from 1 species
UACGUAGGGGGCAAACGUUGUCCGGAUUUACUGGGUGUAAAGGGUGCUCAGGCGGUCUUGUAAGUUAGAAGUGAAAUCCUAGGGCUCAACUCUGGAACUGCUUUUAAUACUGCAAGGCUUGAAUAUGGAAGAGGAGGGUGGAAUUUCUGGUGUAGCAGUGAAAUGCGUAGAUAUCAGGAGGAACACCCGGUGGCGAAGGCGGGUCUCUGGGCUGACACUGACGCUCAUGCACGAAAGCGUGGGGAGCAAACAGG